AGCCGGUUCUUACAGCACUUCAUUAGUAUAUGCCAGCGUAAGGUGACACUGUCAUUCUGCUUUGCUUUGUGUUAGCAGCAAGUUUGGUGACGCUUCCUUGUUCUUGUGAUCCAUCAUAUAUUUUGUGAUAUUUAUUGCUUUAUAAAUGUUGGUGGUCAUAUGAGAAUCCGUCAUAUGAGCUAUCCGUUUCUAUGCUGUUUCUAGGCCUCACGGUCAGAGGGAUAUGUUUAGGGCCCUCCUGUGAGCCUGAAUACAAGGAUAUCAGAAGACAAAUAGACCUUCAGCAAAGCUACAGCAACCAAAUGGACCGUGCUGUGCAAAACCCAACGUCAUGUGAGUUAAACAUCCCCCUCUGGUGCUGGAGAGUUCAGCUAAAGAGCAAACAAUUGGUAAACACCAGCAGCUGAAAGUGGGUGUUCUUUUGCUUUCUUCAUGGCAACAGCCCAGCAGACUGACGGAGAUCAAAAAUUACCUUAUCACCUGAAGGUCUGUGGAGAAGCCAAGAGAUGUUGAAACCUCCCACCACCUCCAACAUCAAAGGCUGCAGCAGCUUACUGAGAACCCCUUGUCUGAAAAGAUGCAGGCUGCUUUCUGAUCUGUACCUUUGUGCAGGGAGAAUUCAGAGUUCCUGGUGCAGUCCCGUUGUGCUAUGGUCGCCUCCUUUAGAGUUCACUGUAUUAAAGAUGAAGGUGCAGUUGAUCACCGAGUGGGACACAACUGAACUUCCAGAGAAGAUCUUUCAGUUAGCACGUAUCUAAUAUUCAACAGGGCAUGAAUCUACUUUGCUAUAAAGUGAGCUGCCUUAUUCUCUGUGGAGUUAGAUGCUUGUGUUUUGGUUUUUGGCAGAAAUGGAAAGUAUUAUUUAUAGGCAUAUUUCUACACUCCCCUCCAAAAUCCAGACUAUUUUAUUGGUCUCCAGCUAUUCCUCAGAAGCCUUCAAAGAUACAUUUGAUGUACUGCAGUGCCUACGGUAAACACCCGACUUACCAGGUCGAGUCUUGCAGGUUAGAUUAGGCUUCAUAAUUUAUAGACCUUGAAGCUCCCCAUGCAGUUGGGUAUCUAUAAAAUGAAGGACUAAGUGCAUGAAAAAAACAAUCUUCCACAAGGAUGGGGUAGCGAAAGGGUGCACAGUGUGAGACUUAGUAGUAAUUGUAGUAGAGUUGUCCUUGAAGAUUUGCAGAAUGUAGUGAAGGUGAUCUUGAGAUUGUGGAUGAAGGGUGGAUAUUAGGAAACAUUUCUUCUCAGAAAGAGCGGUGAGGCGCUGGCAUAGGCUGCCCAGGGUGUGAUAGAGUCACUGUCUCUGGAAAUGUUCAAGAAAAGGGUGAAUGUCACACUGAGUGGCAUUGUCUAGAGCAGUUAUAUGUAUGGCUUAAUAGUUUGACUAGAUGAUCUUAGAGGUUUUUCUGAUCUUAAUGAUUCUAUGAUUCUGUGAUUCUAUGAAGUGCAAAGAGCUCAUGAAAGAAAACUGUUACAGGGUCAUGCAGGGGUAG
rnacentral:lncRNA from 1 species